rnacentral:rRNA from 1 species
UACGUAGGUGGCAAGCGUUGUCCGGAUUUACUGGGCGUAAAGAGCGCGCAGGCGGUCGUAUAAGUCGAAUGUGAAAGCCCCCGGCUCAACUGGGGAGGGUCAUUCGAUACUGUUCGACUCGAAGGCAGGAGAGGGAAGUGGAAUUCCGGGUGUAGUGGUGGAAUGCGUAGAGCUCCGGAGGAACACCAGUGGCGAAGGCGGCCGCCUGGGCCUUUGCUGACGCUGAGCCGCGAAAGCGUGGGGAGCGAGCCGG